rnacentral:rRNA from 1 species
UACGGAGGAUCCAAGCGUUAUCCGGAUUUAUUGGGUUUAAAGGGUGCGUAGGUGGCUUAUUAAGUCAGGGGUGAAAGACGGUAGCUUAACUAUCGCAGUGCCUUUGAUGCUGAUGAGCUUGAAUGAACUAGAGGUAGGCGGAAUGUGACAAGUAGCGGUGAAAUGCAUAGAUAUGUCACAGAACACCAAUUGCGAAGGCAGCUUACUAUGGUUUUAUUGACACUGAGGCACGAAAGCGUGGGGAUCAAACAGG